UUGACUUGGUCCAUCAGGAUUUAUUAUUGGCCGACCACUUCUCCAAGUUGAAGGUGAAUGUCUUUCACUCUUAACUAUCUGUAGCUUAAUAACGUAGAUGUUGACCAUACUUAUUUUCUGCUUUGGCAACUAUAUUUUUGUUAGGAAGUUCCCUCUUCUUCUUUUUUUUUUCCGUUUUUUCUUCCUUAAACUAACUGAAUACGAGCAAUCCUCAAGGCUCUGAUAAAGCGCGUUCUCUUGCCAUAUGAAUUACAAUGUUCAAUUAAGGAUGUCAUCAACUCUCCUGAUUCUGUUGAUUGUCUGACCACCAAUUCCUUCGUUCUUAAUUUCUUGGUGUUUGUUGAAACUUAAAGUACGGUAUUCUUUGAAGUUGAUCCAGCACAUUGAAGAUGGCAGUGAUGAUAGUAAUAUUGAGGAGGAUAUAUCCCCCUCGGUAAUUUUCUUCCCUACCCUCGUGUUAUUUUUUCAUUAUGUAUCAUGCGCAAUUUUGUUUCAUGCUUAACUGAAAGUUGUUUCUAUUAGAAUUGCCAGCAAUUAUUUUGUAUUCUGGUCUCUCCCUCUUUGUUAAUUGAGCGUGACAUGUGAAAUUCAACUAAUAAUGGGCUGAAGCAAUUGUGGAGAAUCAAAAAAAGAAUAUCCUGCUAUUGUAUAGAGAUAACUCUUGGUUUAUUACCACUCCCCAAAAUUUUAAGCUGUGAAGACCUGCCCAAAAAUCGUUUUACAUUUGAUUUCAUAUGAUGUAUUACCACCUUCUCUAUUUCCGUUCGUUAACUCCUCAAAUAAAAUGUCUUGCGGCAGAACUUGACAUAUGUUCUGCAAAGUUGUUACUUAACCAGAUAGCCUCUUCAUUUAUAUCAAAGGAAAAUCAAGGAAUACAAACAGCUUUCCAAUUUUUGAGCAACCUUGCUUCAGUCAUGUGCCUCCAUAUUAUUAAAUAGUGCAAUGGAAAUCUUGCAUUUGAUGAAGCGUUUUGUGUUUUUCUGUCGCGAGACCUCUAUUCCUCUUCUGUUGUCUGUGAUUAACAAAUUUUGUUAAUACUAAAAAUUAAAAAGAACAAAUAGUAGUAUAAAUGAGAUAUAUCAAGAUUGUAAAGUUAAUAUCUAGUAGUUGACUUGUACUAACAAGGAUGUGUCAAAGUGUUCACGUCCUUUUCCUUAUCCGUCAUGAUGUCAUACUUCCAGUAUGUGCUACAAUAAAUAAAAGUCCUUUGUUACUUAAAACCUAAAUGGAUGAACAAAACAUGGUAGAAUAGCUGGCAAGAAAACAGUCCAUGAUUGGGUUGAAAAGUACUAAAGUAUUCCUGAGAAAGUUUGCUCACAGAUAGAGUUGUCAUGCACAAUUUUGCAAUCAAAUGUACUAUAUGGGCUGGUACUUGAAAACAGCUAAGUCAAAGGAAUGCAGUAGAUGGGAAGUAAUAAUAUUCAAAAUAUAUAAGCCUCAUGUUAGACUCAUUUGUUGUGAGAUAUUAUAGUUAGUAGGUGCCACAUAUACAUUUAUAGAGGUUCUUGUAAUUUAGAUGAUUUAAUAAUCAACUUAUUGUGAAAUAAUAGUUUUGGGUUGUUUGCUUGGGCUUUUGCCUCUUCUAGAAUGAAAUAAAAAAUCUAAUUGUGAAAUAAUGCUGCUUGUUGUACAGUGACACAUGUGACAUGUCCAUGGUAAUUUAGUCUUGUAUGAUAUUCAUAAAUUUUAAGUUUUUGAACCGAAAAAAGAUGUUCAUGAGUCCUAGUGUUCGUUGAGAUCACUCUUGUUGAUUCUUUUUGCAUGGCAGAUAAAUAAAUUAUGGGGGGAGUCUGAUUUGGCUUAUGAUCUAGAAAUGCCCCAUUUGUAGAAACAGUAUUGUAUGUGUUUAGUGAUAAAUAUAUCAUGGCCAUACAUGGACGUUUGUGAGAAUUUCCUAUGAAUCAAACUAUUUGUAUCCGUUAUUAUUAUUUCUUUCCCAGAAAUAUGUUCUUGUUGUCCAGUUGCAGACCAAAGUGAAAUCUCCGGCCACUACUGAAGCUGGAGAAAGUGCAAACUUACAAGGAAAUUGCACAUGAAAGCACUGUGUCUGGAAGUAGAAGGAUAACCACCCAAACUUGGACUAAAUGAAGGGAUUCUCCACGGAGGAAAGAUUAUAUAAGUGAUCACAUAAAUUGGCUCAUGGAACUGCAUCAGACCAUAGAUCAUAAAGCUUAGAUGAUUACUGAACUCAUCUGAAUUUCUAAUAGAUUUAUGGGACACAGUUUUCUCUUGUGAUAUGGAUAAAGUUUCAUGAUUUAUAUUUUAAAUGAACAAUCUUACAAUGAAAUGUAUCUAAGAUAUUAAUUUGUCCACAUUUCCAUAUUUUUGUUUAUUGUUAGCUAUUGCAUCCUGCUUUGUUUGCAGUCCGUAAGAAUGUACUCAAUAGUCAUUAUUUAAUUUGUUCUACCUAGAUAUAUAAACUAAAUGCCUUUCUGGUUUAAACUGAUUAGGAGGCUCUUAUAAAUUCCAUGAACGGUGAAAUGCCCAGAAUGCAGGAGCAAGUAUACUAUGGCCAUAUAAAUUCUCGAACGGAUGCUCUUGACAAUUUUCGGUAUAACCCACAGAUUAUUAAUGGUGGGAAACCAAGUUUCACAUCUUUGCGCACAUCUGUUCUUGGAGGGGAAGGUGUCUUCAAUGACAUUAGUUAUUUGCAUUCCCCUGAAAGUAAGCUGUUUUAAGUAAAAGACUUAACAUGCUCUACGAUUUCUCUCAGUAAAUUCUGUUUGGUUAGUUUUAUUUUGCUUGUUCUUUUUUAACUGGGGUGUAAAUUCAGCAUUGACCAGAACUUCUAGUAUGGUUUUCUUGAUUUAUUGAACUUGCUUGGUCGUUAUGUUUGCGUUCCAGUUUUGAGGGUGGAAUAUGUCGCUUGUGGCCCUAGCUAGCACAAUAUGCUGCUAAGUCUACCAACUUGUGAAAUAAGGGUCAUGCAUAAAAAAGAAUCCGUACUAACUAUUUCAAUAUUUACAUUGAGGCUCAUACACUCUACAUUAAGAUAAAAACCACUAUAAAUGUUUGAAUAUUCUGUUGCUUUUAAUUUGGUGUUGAGAGAUGGCUGGGGAAGAAGUUUUAUUUUGAGAUUAAUAUCAAGUCCUGGUUGUAUCUAUUCUUCGGCUUUUGGUGUAACAAAGUAUUUUAAACUUCGUUAGGGUAUAUAUGAAAAUAGUUGAUUUAGCUUGGAGCAUCAAAGAUUUCUCCGUCAGUAUGUAAUCUGUAUUGUUUUGGAUUAGCUGCUAUUGCAAUCUUCUUUCCAUAAUGAUGUAUCUAGCUAGGUGAUUCUGGCUCAUUUAUUUACAUCCUACUUUUCUUCUAUUUUCGAAAGUUUCUGCAAUGUCUUUUUCUCCAGCUGAUCUAAUAAGCUGAGUGCUCUUAUGCCAUACGUUGAUAUCUUAUCUUAUCGAACUCUAAAGAGCUUUACCCUUGUAGGAGAACUAUCGGCUUCUUUUGUCUUGGGGGAACUAGCGCUUGGUCUUUGUAUCGUUAACCUGAUUUUAAUUUUAUUUUUCAACGAAUAGCUCUCAGAUCUAGUAUCUAUUGUUGGAUAAUGAUGCGAAUUGUGGGAAAAUGAUGUGGUUAUUGUUAUCGAUAUGAAAAUAUGUGCAGGUUUGAGAUGGAUGAAGGGAGAUCGGAUGAAGAAACUGAGGCUGGAGAGGGGUGGGAUGGAUGAAGGGAGAUCUGAUAUUGAAGAAACUGAGACUGGUGAGAUAGAUGAAGGGAAGUUGGACGAAGAAACUGAUGCAGGAGACAGUAAUGAGGAGGAACGGACCGAGACCGAAAAUUAUGAAGAAACCGACAUUCCGAAUGGGUUUGAUUUAGAUGAAAUCAGAGUUAUAUGUUUGCAGAUGAGCAUUGUGCUAUAUGUUUGGUUUUGAUUUUACUGUUGGGAGUGGUAGUUUUGAUCUUCCAGUGUCUAACUAUUUGCAUGUUCAGGAAUAUGAAAGUUUUUUGUGGUAAGGGUACGAAACCGAAAGGUUUGUUUGGUACAAUUGGUAUUCGUGGUAUAUAAGAAUCCAGAUGGUUAUGAUUUCUAGAUAAAGUUACGAUUUUUAGAAGUUAAGGGUCUGCAACAGAUUUUUUUGCAGAUCAGUAAUAGCUGCUUUGGACCCAGUCAAUAUGUUGUUGAAAACACAGUGCAGUUUGGUUUGGAAUUUUGAUUUGGUGUCUUCACAGAAGUUUUGGUAGACAUCUUAAUGCAAUAAUGCUUAUUUCAGAACUAGAAUCUGUUAAGAAGAUGCAUCUAAAUGAGGAUGUGAUUUUUGGAGUUGAAGAUCAGUUUAAGGAAAUACUGUAAAUCAGUUUUUCUGCAAUUCUGGACCCAGCUGCCAUUUUACUAGAAACUGCAUGUUUCAGUUGGGUUGUCAAAAGUGGUGUCUUCAGAUAAGUUUCAACAGACAUCUCAAUGAUCAUUUUAGGACUUGAAUCUCCUGAACAAGACAUUUGUACAUUUAAUUGUGAUUUUUUCGAAUUUCAGUCUGCAUUAGGAAUGCUGCAUUUUGUUUAAAUGUUUAAUAUAUCUGUUUGUUUUUUUGCAGCAUAAGAAUCUGGUACAUUUUACCUCAGUAAGUAUUGGAAGCGCUGCUGACCUUGUUGCUUGUCGGUUUAUGUUGUGCUAAUCUGGAUAGCUCCAAGAGGCCUACAAUGAGGACAGUUCCAGAAAUCUUUAGUAAUGGGGAAGAACCUUCAGCUGUUCCAAGGGUUAAGCCAAGACUCAGCUUCUCUUGUGGUGUGUCUCUUUCUGUUGAUGACAUCGUUUCAGACUGAUGAAGUCUUAUAUAUGUUUUAGGAUAAUCACUCUAAGUGUGCCUUGGUAUAUUCCACUUAGGAAAUAGGAACAUCAAGUUCCAUGUAGUAAUAGGUUUACUAUUACAAGUAGAGAUAGAUUUCCUAGUAGGUAUCAUGUAAUUCUCUAUAAAUAGAGGCACUUAUCAAUGAAUUAAGACGAUCUCUCUAUUCU